rnacentral:tRNA from 1 species
CAUUAGAUGACUGAAAGUAAGUAUAGGUCUUUUAAACCUAUUAUAGUAAUGCGCCUACUUCUAAUGACCACCCAAAACCCCC